rnacentral:rRNA from 1 species
UGAGAGGGGCUGACCCGGCCAACAAUUGGGGAUUGAAACCACCGGCCCAGGACUUCCUUAAGGGGAGGCCAGCCAGUGAGGGUAUUUUUCCCACAAAUGGACGAAAAGUUUUGAAGGGAGCAACCGCCGGGGUGAACCGAUGAAAGUCCUUCGGGAUAGUAAAAGUCUGGUUGUCAGGAGACGGAACAAGUACCGUUUGAACAGGGCGGUACCUUGACGGUACCUGACGAGAAAGCCACGGGCUAACUACGUGCCAGCAGCCGCGGUAAUACGUAGGUGGCAAGCGUUGUCCGGGAAUUAUUGGGCGUAAAGCGCGCGCAGGCGGCUAUGUAAGUCUGGUGUUAAAGCCCGGGGCUCAACCCCGGUUCGCAUCGGAAACUGUGUAGCUUGAGUGCAGAAGAGGAAAGCGGUAUUCCACGUGUAGCGGUGAAAUGCGUAGAGAUGUGGAGGAACACCAGUGGCGAAGGCGGCUUUCUGGUCUGUAACUGACGCUGAGGCGCGAAAGCGUGGGGAGCAAACAGGAUUAGAUACCCUGGUAGUCCACGCCGUAAACGAUGAGUGCUAGGUGUUGGGGGUUUCAAUACCCUCAGUGCCGCAGCUAACGCAAUAAGCACUCCGCCUGGGGAGUACGCUCGCAAGAGUGAAACUCAAAGGAAUUAACGGGGGCCCGCACAAGCGGUGGAGCAUGUGGUUUAAUUCGAAGCAACGCGAAGAACCUUACCAGGUCUUGACAUCCCGCUGACCGUCCUAGAGAUAGGGCUUCCCUUCGGGGCAGCGGUGACAGGUGGUGCAUGGUUGUCGUCAGCUCGUGUCGUGAGAUGUUGGGUUAAGUCCCGCAACGAGCGCAACCCUUAUCUUUAGUUGCCAGCAUUCAGUUGGGCACUCUAGAGAGACUGCCGUCGACAAGACGGAGGAAGGCGGGGAUGACGUCAAAUCAUCAUGCCCCUUAUGACCUGGGCUACACACGUGCUACAAUGGCCGGUACAACGGGAAGCUAGCUCGCUAGAGUAUGCCAAUCUCUUAAAACCAGUCUCAGUUAGGAUUGCAGGCUGCAACUCUCAUGCAGGAAGU